ACGGGAGGCAGCAGUAGGGAAUAUUGCACAAUGGGGGGAACCCUGAUGCAGCAACGCCACGUGUGGGAAGAAGCAUUUCGGUGUGUAAACCACUGUCGUGAGGGAAUAAUGCUUGAUUUCGGUCAAGUUGAAUGUACCUCGAAAGGAAGCACCGGCAAACUUCGUGCCAGCAGCCGCGGUAAUACGGAGGAUGCAAGCGUUAUCCGGAUUUAUUGGGUUUAAAGGGUGCGUAGGCGGACUGUUAAGUCAGCGGUGAAAUACCACGGCUCAACCGUGGGGCUGCCGUUGAUACUGGCGGUCUGGAGUACGAUCGGCGCCGGCGGAAUGUGUCAUGUAGCGGUGAAAUGCAUAGAUAUGACACAGAACACCGAUCGCGAAGGCAGCUGGCGAGAACGAUACUGACGCUGAGGCACGAAGGUGCGGGGAUCAAACAGGAUUAGAUACCCUGGUA
rnacentral:rRNA from 1 species